CCCUUAGAUGUUCUGGGCUGCACGCGCGCUACACUGAAGCUAUCAACACGUUUUCCCUCCCUGAGAAGGGCGGGUAACCUUUUGAAUCAGCUUCGUGGUAGGGAUCGGGGCUUGCAAUUGUUCCCCGUGAACCAGGAAUUCCUAGUAGACGCGAGUCAUAAGCUCGCAUCGAUUAAGUCCCUGCCCUCUGUACACACCGCCCGUCGCUACUACCGAUUGAACGUUUUAGUGAGGCAUUUGGACCGACGCAUCUCAGUUUAACCGCUGGUUUGUGUUGGAAAGACUUCCAAACUUGAGCGUUUAGAGGAAGUAAAAGUCGUAACA
rnacentral:rRNA from 1 species